ACACUUGCCUGUGGUGUCAGCAAGCACUGUCGACUUCUUCCUCUGGUGAAGUGGUUUACUUGAACUUGAAGGAAAGAAAAAAAAAUGUCUCCACUUCUGAGAAGCAUCUGUGACAUCACUGAAAUUUUCAAUCAGUAUGUCUCUCAUGAUUGUGAUGGAGCAGCAUUAACUAAGAAAGACCUGAAGAACCUCCUUGAAAGGGAAUUUGGAGCUGU
rnacentral:lncRNA from 1 species